AUAACAAUAACAACUAGAGAUAGAGCUGUAAGAGUUAAAACGCAAUUCAUGAUUAACGAACGUAAAGGCUCAUCAAGAUCACAGAAUGGCAAUCUGAUGAAACUCGCAACGAGUGUCUGCGUGUCUCUACUCGAAGGCUAAGCAAAGUUGCAACUAGCGCGAAGAUCUAAAAUAACAUUUUGUUAACGCGCAGGCCAAUCGGAUCGGAGAAGACGACGGGCUGGUUGGAGCAAACUAGAAACCUCGCGUAAUCGUUGAAUAAAAUGGCACGCACGAGAACGAGAUAAUUCGUGUUAUAAAUCUACGAGGCGACUGUCUGCUAAGUCGAAAAUGAUGACGUUAAACGAAACGUCGCCAUUCCGUCCGAAGCGAAUUACGAAUGCUCUUGAAAGCUCUUCUUAUCAAUUA